CUACGGGGGGCAGCAGUGAGGAAUAUUGCACAAUGGGGGGAACCCUGAUGCAGCAACGCCGCGUGGAGGAUGACGCAUUUCGGUGUGUAAACUCCUUUUAUAUGUCAAGAAAAUGACGGUAGCAUAUGAAUAAGCACCGGCUAACUCCGUGCCAGCAGCCGCGGUAAUACGGAGGGUGCAAGCGUUACUCGGAAUCACUGGGCGUAAAGGACGCGUAGGCGGGUUGGAAAGUCAGGUGUGAAAUCCUACAGCUUAACUGUAGAACUGGACUUGAAACUUCUAAUCUAGAGUAUGGGAGGGGGAGAUGGAAUUAGUGGGGUAGGGGUAAAAUCCGUAGAUAUCACUAGGAAUACCUAAAGCGAAGGCGAUCUCCUGGAACAUUACUGACGCUAAGGCGUGAAAGCGUGGGGAGCAAACAGGAUUAGAUACCCCUGUAGUC
rnacentral:rRNA from 1 species